rnacentral:rRNA from 1 species
GACGAACGCUGGCGGCGUGCCUAAUACAUGCAAGUCGAGCGCAGGAAGCCGACGGAACCCUUCGGGGGGAAGUCGACGGAAUGAGCGGCGGACGGGUGAGUAACACGUAAAGAACCUGCCCUCAGGUCUGGGAUAACCACGAGAAAUCGGGGCUAAUACCGGAUGGGUCAUCGGACCGCAUGGUCCGAGGAUGAAAGGCGCUCCGGCGUCGCCUGGGGAUGGCUUUGCGGUGCAUUAGCUAGUUGGUGGGGUAAUGGCCCACCAAGGCGACGAUGCAUAGCCGACCUGAGAGGGUGAUCGGCCACACUGGGACUGAGACACGGCCCAGACUCCUACGGGAGGCAGCAGUAGGGAAUCUUCCACAAUGGACGAAAGUCUGAUGGAGUAACGCCGCGUGAACGAUGAAGGCCUUCGGGUCGUAAAGUUCUGUUGUAAGAGAAGAACAAGUGCCGCAGGCAAUGGCGGCACCUUGACGGUACCUUGCGAGAAAGCCACGGCUAACUACGUGCCAGCAGCCGCGGUAACAC